GGCAUAGAAGGCGGCUUGGCUGGGGCCAAAAGCAUGUGCUUGCGCUGCAGCGCUGCAUUAAGAGAGAGAGAGAGAACCAGACAGAGAGGGUAUGGGCACCCACUCACACAGGCAUGCACUCGGGACGGCAGUUGUCGUCGUUACUAUUUGAGGUUAGGAAUGCCCCACCCAAGCAAGACACAUACAAGUAGCAGACAUGGCUGCCUCGCAUUAUACCUACAUAUAUGUGCAAACGAAUAUAUAAGUGAUAUAUAUGUACAUAUGUAUGUACUCUGCGACAUUCGAACAGAAAUUCGCAAUUAUUCACAAGUCGAAAAGCAAAAGCUGUUCGCGAUCGCUGCCGACAUCUCUGACACAUCAUACGCUCGCACACACCCAUUCGCGCAUACAUUUUCGAAG
rnacentral:lncRNA from 1 species